GUACUGAGACACGGACCAGACUCCUACGGGAGGCAGCAGUGGGGAAUUUUGGACAAUGGGGGCAACCCUGAUCCAGCAACGCCGCGUGAGGGAUGAAGGCCUCUGGGCUGUAAACCUCUUUUCUCAAGGAAGAAGAUCUGACGGUACUUGAGGAAUAAGCACCGGCUAACUACGUGCCAGCAGCCGCGGUAAUACGUAGGGUGCAAGCGUUAAUCGGAAUUACUGGGCGUAAAGCGUGCGCAGGCGGUUAUACAAGACAGGCGUGAAAUCCCCGGGCUUAACCUGGGAAUGGCGUCUGUGACUGUAUGACUAGAGUGUGUCAGAGGGGGGUAGAAUUCCACGUGUAGCAGUGAAAUGCGUAGAUAUGUGGAGGAAUACCAAUGGCGAAGGCAGCCCCCUGGGAUAACACUGACGCUCAUGCACGAAAGCGUGGGGAGCAAACAGGAUUAGAUACCCUGGUAGUCCACGCCCUAAACGAUGCCGACUAGUUGCUGGGAAUUUACAUUCUCAGUAACGUAGCUAACGCGUGAAGUCGGCCGCCUGGGGAGUACGGUCGCAAGAUUAAAACUCAAAGGAAUUGACGG
rnacentral:rRNA from 1 species